rnacentral:rRNA from 1 species
UAGGGAAUAUUGGACAAUGGGCGAGAGCCUGAUCCAGCCAUGCCGCGUGCAGGAAGAAGGCCUUCUGGGUUGUAAACUGCUUUUGCCAGGGGAUAAAAAGUCCCUGCGGGGAAAAUUGAAGGUACCUGGUGAAUAAGCCACGGCUAACUACGUGCCAGCAGCCGCGGUAAUACGUAGGUGGCAAGCGUUGUCCGGAUUUAUUGGGUUUAAAGGGUGCGUAGGCGGUUCAAUAAGUCAGUGGUGAAAUACGGCAGCUCAACUGUCGAGGUGCCAUUGAUACUGUAGAACUUGAGUACAGACGAGGUAGGCGGAAUUGACGGUGUAGCGGUGAAAUGCUUAGAUAUCGUCAAGAACACCGAUAGCGAAGGCAGCUUACUAGGCUGUAACUGACGCUGAGGCACGAAAGUGUGGGGAUCAAACAGGAUUAGAUACCCGCGUAGUCC